GCUGGGCGCGGUGGUGCAAGUCUGUAAACCCAGCAGCUCAGGAGGCUGAGACAGGAGGAUCACGAGUUCAAAGCCAGCCUAGGCAAGGCACUAAGCAACUCAGUGAGACCCUGUCUCUA
rnacentral:sRNA from 1 species